rnacentral:rRNA from 1 species
UACGUAGGGCGCAAGCGUUGUCCGGAAUUACUGGGCGUAAAGAGUGUGUAGGCGGUGCUCUAAGUUCGGUGUGAAAUCUCCUGGCUCAACUGGGAGGGUGCGCCGGAAACUGGAGUGCUUGAGCGUGGGAGAGGAAAGCGGAAUUCCUGGUGUAGCGGUGAAAUGCGUAGAUAUCAGGAGGAACACCUGUGGUGUAGACGGCUUUCUGGACCAUGGCUGACGCUGAGACACGAAAGCGUGGGUAGCAAACAGG